rnacentral:rRNA from 1 species
UGGGGAAUAUUGCACAAUGGACGGAAGUUUGAUGCAGCGACGCCGCGUGGAGGGUGUAGGCCUUCGGGUUUUGAACCCCUUUUUCUCGCGAAAAAGGCACAGUUUUGGCUGUGUUGAUGGUAGUGGGGGAAGAAGCGCCGGCUAACUACGUGCCAGCAGCCGCGGUAAUACGUAGGGCGCGAGCGUUUUCCGGAUUUAUUGGGCGUAAAGAGCUCGUAGGUGGUUCGUCGCGUCUGUCGUGAAAGCCAGCAGCUUAACUGUUGGUCUGCGGUGGGUACGGGCGGGCUUGAGUGCGGUAGGGGUGACUGGAAUUCCUGGUGUAGCGGUGGAAUGCGCAGAUAUCAGGAGGAACACCGAUGGCGAAGGCAGGUCACUGGGCCGUUACUGACACUGAGGAGCGAAAGCGUGGGGAGCGAACAGG